GGUUCUGUAGUGUAGUGGUUAUCACGUCUGUUUAACACGCAGAAGGUCGCGAGUUCGAACCUCGCCAGAACCU
rnacentral:tRNA from 1 species